rnacentral:lncRNA from 1 species
UAACAAAGGGCAAGCUGUCUUAACAAGGACUACUGAUUGUACUGCAUGCCUAAUUGAAUUUUAUUUUUCUCCCCUUAACCAAAUUCAUAAAAUUUUAGUCCAAGGGGAGAACCUCAGACUCUUUUCUGAACCAGUGCAUCUUCAAGGAUUCUCAUUGUUCUUCUGGCUGUAGUAGGAGCAUUUUCUGAAGAAGAAACUGCUGAUCAAGGUGGAGGAGGAGAGAGCCUUGACAGCCUGGCCCAUGGCAGCAUGACACAAUCAUCUUUGUUCUUAAAAAAUGUCCCUGAGAUGUCACUGCUGAGGAGCACAGAGAUGGAAACAGAAAGUGAAUAUGGCUGACAACCAAAAUGAGUCUGCCCUAUAGAUCAUCCUGUACCAGAGAUCUACAGCAUAAUGGCCUGGAAGCAGUCUUUGUUUUGGAGCCAAGCCCAGCAAAGUCUCAAUUCCUUCCCCUUCAAUCGCCAUCUGGAUGAACAAGGCCAAGUCAUUGACCUUCUCUGGGCCUCAGUUUCCUCACCCAUAAACUGGAGCAAAGUCAUCUCCAAGACAGCAGGAACCAUGUUUACUCUUUAAUCAUUGUAUGCUCCCUAAAUAUUUGCUGAACAAGUGAACAAAAAACCUGGUGGUGGUGAAAUUAGACUCCUUCUUGGUGUCACCAGGAGGUCCAGUUAAACAUACCAAGACUUGAGGAAUUAUGUCCAAGGUUCCAGCAUUGAACAUGAAGAACGCAGGAUUUAUUGGCACGUCGUGAUAACCGUAAAGCCCACGCUUCUACUGCAGUGUUGAGUUUGCGUGCCAACAGGAAAGAAUUCUGCAUGGGAGUCAGAACAUUUGUAUUAAAGACCUGAUUUUACUGGGCAACAGAGCGAGACCUUGUCUCUACAAAAAAUAAACAAAACUAACCAGGCACAGUGGUGUGCACCUGUAGUCCCAGCUACUUGGGAGGCUGAGGCUAUUGGCAGGAGAUCUUCCCAGAAGAAAAAGAAUGGAGG